GACGAACGCUGGCGGCGUGCUUAACACAUGCAAGUCGAACGAAGAGCGAUGGAAGCUUGCUUCUCUCAAUCUUAGUGGCGAACGGGUGAGUAACGCGUAAUCAACCUGCCCUUCAGAGGGGGACAACAGUUGGAAACGACUGCUAAUACCGCAUACGAUCUAAUCUCGGCAUCGAGGAUAGAUGAAAGGUGGCCUCUACAUGUAAGCUAUCACUGAAGGAGGGGAUUGCGUCUGAUUAGCUAGUUGGAGGGGUAACGGCCCACCAAGGCGAUGAUCAGUAGCCGGUCUGAGAGGAUGAACGGCCACAUUGGGACUGAGACACGGCCCAGACUCCUACGGGAGGCAGCAGUGGGGAAUCUUCCGCAAUGGACGAAAGUCUGACGGAGCAACGCCGAGUGAGUGAUGACGGCCUUCGGGUUGGAAAGCUCUGUUAAUCGGGACGAAAGGCCUUCUUGCGAAUAGUGAGAAGGAUUGACGGUACCGGAAUAGAAAGCCACGGCUAACUACGUG
rnacentral:rRNA from 1 species